rnacentral:rRNA from 1 species
GGAGGGAUCAUUACCGAGUUAUCCAACUCCCAACCCCUGUGAAUUAUACCUUUAAUUGUUGCUUCGGCGGGACUUCGCGCUCGCCGGGGACCCAAACCUUCUGAAUUUUUUAAUAAGGAUCUUCUGAGUGGUUAAAAAAAAAAUGAAUCAAAACUUUCAACAACGGAUCUCUUGGUUCUGGCAUCGAUGAAGAACGCAGCGAAAUGCGAUAAGUAAUGUGAAUUGCAGAAUUCAGUGAAUCAUCGAAUCUUUGAACGCACAUUGCGCCCGUCAGUAUUCUGGCGGGCAUGCCUGUUCGAGCGUCAUUACGCCCCUCAAGUCCCCUGUGGACUUGGUGUUGGGGAUCGGCGAGGCUGGUUUUCCAGCACAGCCGUCCCUUAAAUUGAUUGGCGGUCUCGCCGUGGCCCUCCUCUGCGCAGUAGUAAAACACUCGCAACAGGAGCCCGGCGCGGUCCACUGCCGUAAAACACCCCAACUUUUUAUAGUUGACCUCGAAUCAGGUAGGACU